UUUUUGUAUUCAUUGUGCGAAGCAGAAUGAAUACAGAGUUAUAAGUACAAUCUCAAAAAAAGGUAGGCAGAGUGGAUUUGCUGAACAGCAUCCAUCCGCUUAUACGUCCGUGACAUAAAGUAGUUCAUGAUUUGCACUUAAAUCGCUUUAAGCAUACGCUAAGCGAUGACUUAUCUGUCCCAAUGUUGCAAAAAAUUAUGUUAAAGUUUUUUCUACCCGAAAAUCAUGCACUUUAUUCAUGUUUGACAUCUAAAAACAUCGAUAAAAAUUUCCUGUAUUUCUACGCUACAAAUUAUUAUUAACGCAUGCGCAGACUCACAAUAAUUUAUCGAAGAGAACAACACGUAAGAGAAAUUGCUCAGGAAAGAAUCAACAACCAUCGCACAUAUUGUUGACUGUAACCUUUUUGUCGUGGGUAUUGUAGCGGAUAUUCCUUGUGACGGAAAUAAAAGAUUAUUUACUUUAAUAUUCACUUGGAAAGGCUGGUACAUGUAGCUAGAAAAAGUACAGUAUAAGAUUAAAGAAAGACUAGAAGAUUAUUACAAACAACAGGUGGACAUGUGUCACUGUCAAGCGAAUGAAGAUAAGCAUCACACUCGGUGGGAAUCUCCAGUUUCCAGAUGUAGUGAUCAUAACUGUAUAGGCACCAUUAACACUUUGGACUAGUUGGAGUAUUUUAGAGG